rnacentral:rRNA from 1 species
GGUUAAGCGACUAAGCGUACACGGUGGAUGCCCUGGCAGUCAGAGGCGAUGAAGGACGUGCUAAUCUGCGAUAAGCGUCGGUAAGGUGAUAUGAACCGUUAUAACCGGCGAUUUCCGAAUGGGGAAACCCAGUGUGUUUCGACACACUAUCAUUAACUGAAUCCAUAGGUUAAUGAGGCGAACCGGGGGAACUGAAACAUCUAAGUACCCCGAGGAAAAGAAAUCAACCGAGAUUCCCCCAGUAGCGGCGAGCGAACGGGGAGCAGCCCAGAGCCUGAAUCAGUGUGUGUGUUAGUGGAAGCGUCUGGAAAGGCGCGCGAUACAGGGUGACAGCCCCGUACACAAAAAUGCACAUACUGUGAGCUCGAUGAGUAGGGCGGGACACGUGGUAUCCUGUCUGAAUAUGGGGGGACCAUCCUCCAAGGCUAAAUACUCCUGACUGACCGAUAGUGAACCAGUACCGUGAGGGAAAGGCGAAAAGAACCCCGGCGAGGGGAGUGAAAAAGAACCUGAAACCGUGUACGUACAAGCAGUGGGAGCACGCUUCGGCGUGUGACUGCGUACCUUUUGUAUAAUGGGUCAGCGACUUAUAUUCUGUAGCAAGGUUAACCGAAUAGGGGAGCCGAAGGGAAACCGAGUCUUAACUGGGCGUUAAGUUGCAGGGUAUAGACCCGAAACCCGGUGAUCUAGCCAUGGGCAGGUUGAAGGUUGGGUAACACUAACUGGAGGACCGAACCGACUAAUGUUGAAAAAUUAGCGGAUGACUUGUGGCUGGGGGUGAAAGGCCAAUCAAACCGGGAGAUAGCUGGUUCUCCCCGAAAGCUAUUUAGGUAGCGCCUCGUGAAUUCAUCUCCGGGGGUAGAGCACUGUUUCGGCAAGGGGGUCAUCCCGACUUACCAACCCGAUGCAAACUGCGAAUACCGGAGAAUGUUAUCACGGGAGACACACGGCGGGUGCUAACGUCCGUCGUGAAGAGGGAAACAACCCAGACCGCCAGCUAAGGUCCCAAAGUCAUGGUUAAGUGGGAAACGAUGUGGGAAGGCCCAGACAGCCAGGAUGUUGGCUUAGAAGCAGCCAUCAUUUAAAGAAAGCGUAAUAGCUCACUGGUCGAGUCGGCCUGCGCGGAAGAUGUAACGGGGCUAAACCAUGCACCGAAGCUGCGGCAGCGACACUAUGUGUUGUUGGGUAGGGGAGCGUUCUGUAAGCCUGUGAAGGUGUGCUGUGAGGCAUGCUGGAGGUAUCAGAAGUGCGAAUGCUGACAUAAGUAACGAUAAAGCGGGUGAAAAGCCCGCUCGCCGGAAGACCAAGGGUUCCUGUCCAACGUUAAUCGGGGCAGGGUGAGUCGACCCCUAAGGCGAGGCCGAAAGGCGUAGUCGAUGGGAAACAGGUUAAUAUUCCUGUACUUGGUGUUACUGCGAAGGGGGGACGGAGAAGGCUAUGUUGGCCGGGCGACGGUUGUCCCGGUUUAAGCGUGUAGGCUGGUUUUCCAGGCAAAUCCGGAAAAUCAAGGCUGAGGCGUGAUGACGAGGCACUACGGUGCUGAAGCAACAAAUGCCCUGCUUCCAGGAAAAG